GCGUCAUAGCACGUACCGAUUAAAUCUGUUUUGCUACGUAAAGUCUGCAAUAAAGAAAUGCUAGUAGUAUCGAAGUGGACAAUGAUUUUUAAACAAAAUCGUAGGUGUGAACGAAUUUGCUCUUUAAACCCGUCUGUAUGGUAUCUAACACGUUAUUAAUAGAAGGUGAGUUUGGUGCAAAUUGAAAUGGCGAAAGGGAACAAUAAUAUCCAUGCAGCGCACCAACAAAAUGCCUCUCUUGACGUCACAGGUGACCUUGUAAAAACAGAUAUUUUUUAGUUGAUAAUAAACAAUGGUAUUAACGUGUCGUGUGUUAUUGUAGAUACUUGAAUAAAUCAUAUAUAACGAACGCGUUCAGUGCCCUUCGUGGUCCGUAAAACCCGAUCCAGAAAAGGCUACUAUUCAGCUACGAGGUCGGGGGUGUGGUGACUCGGUAUAAGCGACCCACUUUCUAACCUUCCUGUUUGAUGACGUCGCUAGUAUUAUUUGGGUCAUGAGGGCGCCUGAGAAUGGGAUAUAAUUACAUAGAGGAGAUAAGACGAAAAACGUCAACGGGAAGCAAGACGCGAGUAGCUAGUGCAUAAAACAGUGAGAGGCAGUAAACAUUAAAGAAAUGGCAGUUAGAUAUGGAAAAAUACAAGACACAGUGCGUAAUUUAAAGCUUCUGACGUCUAAAAGAAACACUGAAAUCUUUUAAAAGAACAUUGUUAAAUUUCCUGGAAACAUCUUAUUGCGUACACUGUUAAUAGUAGUAAAAACAAUUUACAAAUAAAAGAAACAAUAAAACUUUUUUGAUUUGGUAUUUUAGUCGCGUCAUAACGAUUGUUUGAACAGAACCAAUCAAUUAUGUACAGAAACCAAAAAUUUGAACAAUUUUUUUAA